rnacentral:lncRNA from 1 species
AUGAGAAAACUGAGGUUCCUGUCACAGGACUCAAACCUUAUUCCAACCAGUAAGCUGCCUCUUACUCCAUGACACACGGAUGCCUCUGGACAAAGCUGACCAUAGAAGGGCCUUCCAGAAUUGAUCUUGCAGCCUGCCUCCUUGGCCUACAGGGCUUUGCCCUGGAGACAUCAAUAAGAGACUCAGUUUACUUCUGUCCAGAAACCAGCAGGGCCUCCUUGCCCUCAGGCCAAGGAUUUACCUACCACUCUUCUCUGAAUCAGAGGUCUUCUGCAUGGCUGGCAUUCACCAAAGACAAGGCAGCAGCUGGAGAUCAGAAUCUUCAUCGUUUCCUCAUUCUGAAGAGUUGGACUCGACAGGAACCAAUGGAAAAGUGAACAUUUGAGUCAAUCGACAGGAUGUUUUUUGGUCAACCAAUACCCAACAACUGUUUCUAAAGGGUUUGUCCCCACCUCCACCCCCCACCCCGCAACUGGAGUGGUGAGUUUUCUCUUUAGCUGAAUUCACCAGAUGUUUUGGCGGUACAUAAACCUGGCUUUCCCGUCUUCCAAGUGGAUGAAAUAGGAUCCAAAUCACAGCACGUCUCCUCAGCUUCUCCAACCAAGUACUUAAUGGUUCUUGAGAAUAAUGUAAAGAUGGAGUUCAGUUUUCUUCAGGCCUUGGGCCCACUGGAUCCAGGUGUUGGCAUUUUCUGGCUUCGCUUUAGAAGAUUUCCAGGUGGAAUCCCAGAUUCAUGAGCACGAGUCAACUUCCCCACAGUUACCCUCCUCCAUCACUUUAAUUUUUCUGGCCACAUAUCAGAAACUGUAAAAGUACACCCCAAAAUCCCCACGAAGGAUGAACUGCUGUAGUGGCACGCACAUGAUUCAACCACAUCUGGAGAAAAAACUGCUCUGCGACUCCCCCUCAGUCUUUGCAACUCCAGGUGCCGCCCCCCACACCCGAGUCAAAGGGGAAACAGGACCCCUUCAUCAGCCUCCAACCUCCCUCUGCCUUGUGCCCCGUUUUGCUUAGAACAAGCUUCAGCAUGCCAUGCCACCUCGCCAGGCCUUGCCAAAAUCCACGAAUGGCACAGAGAGCACAUUAAACAGAUGGAAUGCAACAUACAUGUAAAGAAAUAAGAGCACUGCCAGGAAGGUUGGCAGCAGCGCUGGAAUGCUUUAAACAGUGUGUGUGUGGGUAGGAAGAGUGAGCCCAGAGUCGGCGAGGCUGCCUCCUUCUCAAGAGCUGUUUCUUUUACAGCCGUGACCUGUUUUGCCAGUCAAAAUAAAUACGGUGUUAAAUGCCCCCUUUUACUGGCU